GGCGACUACGUCGUUCACCAGCGGUCUAAUAGACCGGAAUUGAGAGGAUGACCAAGGAAACGAAGCCGUGAUUCGGCCGGAAAAACGAGAACUGAAUCGAGAAAUUUGUUGGCCUAUUCUUCUCGAAAUUCUGAUUUUUCUUGCCUCCAUCGCUUUGAUUCAAUUAUUUGAGUCAAUAAGAUACCUGGAUCAAGUCAGGUAAUUCAAUGUGUUGUAGUUGGCCAAAUUUGGCUAUGAACGAUUUUCGAGCGAUUUGCAUUUGAAGAUCGCAAACAUAUUUUUGGUUUUCUGAUCUUAACGUUACUGUCUGACUAAGCAGAAGAAUAUGACAUAAUUGAAAACGAAAACAAGGUGUA
rnacentral:misc_RNA from 1 species